rnacentral:siRNA from 1 species
CUGGAGUGUCAAGUAGAGGAAUGC